ACGGUGGAUGCCUUGGCACUAGGAGCCGAUGAAGGACGGGACUAACACCGAUAUGCUUUGGGGAGCUGUACGUAAGCUAUGAUCCAGAGAUUUCCGAAUGGGGGAACCCAACAUCUUUAAUAGGAUGUUACGAUUGUGUGAAUACAUAGCACAUUCGAGGUAGACGCAGAGAACUGAAACAUCUAAGUACCUGCAGGAAGAGAAAGAAAAUUCGAUUCCCU
rnacentral:rRNA from 1 species